UGGGGAAUCUUGCACAAUGGGGGCAACCCUGAUGCAGCGACGCCGCGUGAGCGAUGAAUCCCUUCUGGGCGUAAAGCUCUUUCGACCGGAACGAUAAUGACGGUACCGGGAGAAGAAGCUGCGGCUAACUACGUGCCAGCAGCCGCGGUAAUACGUAGGCAGCAAGCGUUGUUCGGAGUUACUGGGCGUAAAGAGUGCGUAGGCGGUUUUCUAAGUUCGGUGUGAAAUCUCCCGGCUUAACUGGGAGGGUGCGCCGAAGACUGGGAAGCUGGAGUGUGGGAAAGGCAGGCGGAAUUCCUGGUGUAGCGGUGAAAUGCGUAGAUAUCAGGAGGAACACCGGCGGUGUAGACGGCUUGCUAGACCAUAACUGACGCUGAGGCACGAAAGCGUGGGUAGCAAACA
rnacentral:rRNA from 1 species